rnacentral:tRNA from 1 species
GCAUUGGUGGUUCAGUGGUAGAAUUCUUGCCUGCCACACGGUAUGCCCGGGUUUGAUUCCCGGCCAAUGCA